AAUUUUGGACAAUGGGCGCAAGCCUGAUCCAGCCAUGCCGCGUGAGUGAAGAAGGCCUUCGGGUUGUAAAGCUCUUUCGGACGGAAAGAAAUCCGGCAGGCUAAUACCCUGCACGGAUGACGGUACCGCCAUAAGAAUCACCGGUCAACUACGUGCCAGCCGCCGCGUUAAUACGUAGGGUGCGAGCGUUAAUCGUGAUUACUGGGCGUAAAGCGUGCGCAGGCGGUUGAUUAAGAAAAGCGUGAAAUCCCCGGGCUUAACCUGGGAACUGCGCUUGUGACUGGUCAGAUAGAGUACGGCAGAGGGGGGUGGAAUUCCACGUGUAGCAGUGAAAUGCGUAGAGAUGUGGAGGAACACCGAUGGCGAAGGCAGCCCCCUGGGCCGAUACUGACGCUCAUGCACGAAAGCGUGGGUAGCAAACAGG
rnacentral:rRNA from 1 species